GACGAACGCUGGCGGCGUGCUUAACACAUGCAAGUCGAACGAUGAAGCUGGAGCUUGCUCCGGUGGAUUAGUGGUGAACGGGUGAGUAACACGUGAGCAAUCUGCCCUUGACUCUGGGAUAACUGCGGGAAACUGUAGCUAAUACCGGAUACUUUCACUGGAAGGCAUCUUCUGGUGAAGAAAGAAUUUCGGUCAAGGAUGAGCUCGCGGCCUAUCAGCUUGUUGGUGAGGUAACGGCUCACCAAGGCGACGACGGGUAGCCGGCCUGAGAGGGUGACCGGCCACACUGGGACUGAGACACGGCCCAGACUCCUACGGGAGGCAGCAGUGGGGAAUAUUGUACCAUGGGCGCAAGCCUGGUGCAGCAACGCCGCGUGAGGGAUGAAGGCCUUCGGGUUGUAAACCUCUUUUAGCAGGGAAGAAGCGAAAGUGACGGUACCUGCAGAAAAAGCACCGGCUAACUACGUGCCAGCCGCCGCGGUAA
rnacentral:rRNA from 1 species